GGGAAGACCAGGGCUGGCAUCUUUUUCGAAGGACAUGUCGCAUGACCCGGCCUUGUUUGAUAAGCUUUGAUGUGUAGGCUAUGGCUAUGGCGUCAAUCAUCGGUCAUUGCCCCAACCGCCCCUCUGUCCUUCUUGCGAGCCUUCUUCAGAACAAAUCCUGCAAUUCUCGCGCUGUUGGAGAGUCGAGAAUCGCGAGCAUUCAUCAGUUUUCUGGCGAGGGGGGUGGGGAAUUGCGGCGAGGGCAAAGAGUGAGGAGGGCGCGGCGAAGGGGGUUUGGGUUGUCUGUGACACGAUCCAUGGCUGGGAGUUCGGAGCAGGAGGUUCGGGGAGGAGAAUCAGUGGGCAGGCCCGAAAUGCUGACCACAGCGUCAUACUCUCCGCCAUCGUGGGCUUCUAAAUUGCACCCCUUGCCGUCGCAGUUUUGUACUUUGGGCCAGUUCCCAACACCAAUUCAUCGGUGGAAUCUUCCAGGCUUGCCCAAGGAUACUGAGGUUUGGAUCAAGAGAGAUGAUUUGACAGGGAUGCAGUUGAGCGGCAACAAGGUUCGGAAGCUUGAGUUUCUCAUAGCAGAUGCUAAAGCUCAGGGUGCCGACUGUGUGAUUACGAUUGGAGGCAUUCAAAGCAACCAUUGUCGCGCCACAGCCGUGGCAGCCAAAUAUUUUAAUCUCGAUUGCUACCUCAUACUGCGUACCAGUCGAACGGUUGUAGAACAGGAUCCAGGAUUGGAAGGAAAUUUGCUGGUUGAGCGGAUGGUUGGGGCUCAUGUGUCAUUGGUGUCGAAGGAAGAAUAUGUUCAGCUUGGUAGUGUGGGCCUUGGAAAGCUUCUCACAGAGAAAUUGAAAGCUGAAGGCAGGAAACCGUAUGUGAUUCCUGUGGGUGGAUCUAAUUCUCUUGGUACUUGGGGGUACAUAGAGUUCGUGAAAGAACUUCAAGGUCAACUGGAGGGCGGUAAGGUCUCAGGUAUCAAGCAUUUUGACGAUAUUGUCAUGGCAUGUGGAAGUGGCGGUACGACAGCAGGGCUUGCAUUGGCUGCUCAUUUGAGCAACCUUCAAACAAAGACUAUUCAGGUGUCGGGCUGUAAUGAAGCUUAUAAUGGACCGAGAUUCACGCUUAUGCAGUUUGCGAUACCCCAGAGUACUUCUACGAGUAUGUGCAGGGGCUUAUUGAUGGGCUGGAUGCUGGCGUUAAGUCUGAAGACAUUGUCAAAGUAGUCAAUGCUAAAGGAUUGGGGUAUGCAAUGAGCACAACAGAGGAGCUGAAGCUUGUGAAAGAAGUUGCAGAGUUGACCGGAGUCAUCCUGGACCCUGUAUACAGUGGGAAGGCGCUGAUUGGAAUGUUGAAGGAUAUGGCAGAGAAUCCUUCCGAGUGGGAGGGGAAGAAGGUGCUGUUUGUUCACACAGGUGGCUUGCUCGGCAUGUACGAUAAGGUGCAGCAAUUGCAGCCAUUGACCAGCAAGUGGGAACGCUUUAAAAUUGCUGAAACAGUCUUACAAGGUGGAGAUGGCAAGGGCAAAAUGUUUUGAUCGACAGAGGGAACACUUGGGUUUCAUGUGCUUGUGGUGAAGCUUUUUUCUUUUCUGUCAGAACCUUUCUGUUGGGCCCUGCAAGAAUGCAAUCCAUGAAAGCUGCAUUCAUCAAAGCCGGGUUUUUUGUCGGUUUCUGAAUUCAUCCAUCGAUGCAGCUUUCUCACAAUCAAAGUUGGUACCGAUUCCGAGAAUUUAAUUUAUAAAUAUAUAUAUAUAUUUCAAGAGCC